UAAGGAAUAUUGCGCAAUGGACGAAAGUCUGACGCAGCGACGCCGCGUGGGGGAUGAAGGUCUUCGGAUUGUAAACCCCUUUCGGGAGGGAAGAUGGAGUGGGUAACCACUUGGACGGUACCUCCAGAAGCAGCCACGGCUAACUUCGUGCCAGCAGCCGCGGUAAUACGAAGGUGGCAAGCGUUGUUCGGAUUCACUGGGCGUACAGGGAGCGUAGGCGGUUGGGUAAGCCCUCCGUGAAAUCUCCGGGCCUAACCCGGAAAGUGCAGAGGGGACUGCUCGGCUAGAGGAUGGGAGAGGAGCGCGGAAUUCCCGGUGUAGCGGUGAAAUGCGUAGAGAUCGGGAGGAAGGCCGGUGGCGAAGGCGGCGCUCUGGAACAUUUCUGACGCUGAGGCUCGAAAGCGUGGGGAGCAAACAGGAUUAGAUACCCCCGUAGUCCCUGAGCGGGCUGGCAAGGCGCAU
rnacentral:rRNA from 1 species